CCUUACGCUCAGAAUUUUGGUGUAUUAAUUGUCAUUAAUCAAUUGUGAAACGGUAUCCUUUAGUGUUGUUUUCGUUAAAGUUUGAAACAGUAUUGUUUAGUGUUACUCUACCUUCAAGGAAAGUCCAAGGAGUAGCUGUGAGAUGGUUUAAAGCUAUUGAAUGGCUUGAAAGUGUAGUUAGGCCAUUGGGGAUACCAAAACAACCAUCAAACUUUUUGAUAGGUUAAAGCUUCAUGUUUCCAACAACUAAUGGUUGUUCUAUCGUAAAGACUUCUGGUUAAAUAUGAAAGAAACACCACUGUCAUUUGUUUAUUCUCUUUUUAGAUUCUAUCUCCGUGGCAUAUAUACAGCUGUCAUGGAGAAUUUGCGAGUGUGGGUAUCUAAUCAAGGCGUCUCUCGGUUCGGGUACUCAGACAUGUUUCUGAACGGAUUGGUGGGUGAUGGAUGAACCAUUAUCUAAGAAAUGCCCAAAUUUGUUUUUGUUGGAUAGAAAUAAGCAAGUGUUGUUGGCCGAGCAAAACGGGUUUUUGCAUGGGGUAUUUUAGACCAAUUAGGUUUGUGCUCAACAACCAAGUUUUGUAGGCCGUGACAAAUGGUCUGGAAAUCGAACUCUGUUUGGGCUCAAUUCACCAUUCAUUACAACUGGACCAUGAUGCACGUGAAAAUCUUGAUUCUAUGAUUGUUCCAUGUUGUGGAGAAUUAAGGGAACUAAAGGGUGGGCACUACCAUAAGAUCAUUGAGAUCACAGAAAAUGCUGGAAAAACACUCUUAAAUGAC